rnacentral:tRNA from 3 species
GGUUGAUUAGUGUAGUUGGUUAUCACAUCGGAUUUUGAUUCCGGAGACCCGGGUUCGAAUCCCAGAUCGACCU